rnacentral:rRNA from 1 species
CUUGCUAAAAUAUAAGAGGUCCAGCCUGCCCAGUGACCCAGUUCAACGGCCGCGGUAUCCUAACCGUGCGAAGGUAGCGUAAUCACUUGUUCUUUAAAUGGGGACUAGUAUGAAUGGCAUCACGAGGGUUGAACUGUCUCCUUUCUCUAAUCAGUGAAACUAAUCUCCCCGUGAAGAAGCGGGAAUCAUUUUAUAAGACGAGAAGACCCUAUGGAGCUUAAAACAAAUUGACACAUGCUUCCACCUACUUCAAUUCCUGAAUAAAUAUACAAAAUAUAGCAUCAUUGAUUAAUAGUUUUAGAUUGGGGUGAUCAUGGAGCAAAAAAUAACCUCCACGACGAAAAGGAAUAUUUCCUGAGCCAAAAGCCACAACUUUAAGCACUAAAAAAUUAACGCAUCUUGACCCAAUUUUUUGAGCAACGAAC